GAUGAACGCUGGCGGCGUGCCUAAUACAUGCCAGUCGAGCGAACAGACGAGGAGCUUGCUCCUCUGACGUUAGCGGCGGACGGGUGAGUAACACGUGGAUAACCUACCUAUAAGACUGGGAUAACUUCGGGAAACCGGAGCUAAUACCGGAUAAUAUAUUGAACCGCAUGGUUCAAUAGUGAAAGACGGUUUUGCUGUCACUUAUAGAUGGAUCCGCGCCGCAUUAGCUAGUUGGUAAGGUAACGGCUUACCAAGGCAACGAUGCGUAGCCGACCUGAGAGGGUGAUCGGCCACACAGGAACUGAGACACGGUCCAGACUCCUACGGGAGGCAGCAGUAGGGAAUCUUCCGCAAUGGGCGAAAGCUUGACGGAGCAACGCCGCGUGAGUGAUGAAGGUCUUCGGAUCGUAAAACUCUGUUAUUAGGGAAGAACAAAUGUGUAAGUAACUAUGCACGUCUGGACGGUACCUAAUCAGAAAGCCACGGCUAACUAAGC
rnacentral:rRNA from 1 species